GCUGCAAUUUUGUCACCUUCCUUGUUCCAACAAACCUCAAAUAUUCCACCAUUGCCAGUGUAUGUUUUCACGAUCUUAACUUCUUUCAACGACCAGAUAUUGACACAUCUAUCAAGAGACCCACUAGCCAGAUACUCUCCAUUUGGGCUAAAUGCAACUGAGUACACAGGAUCCCCGUGUCCAUUCAAACUGCAGAUAAGUUUCCCGUGUUCCACAUCCCAUAAUUUCACCGUUGAGUCAAAUGAUGCACUUGCUAGCACUAAUUGCUGGUUAGGAUUGUUUGUACCAG
rnacentral:misc_RNA from 1 species